GGGGGCGUGGUGUUAAUGGUAGCAUGACGGUCUCCAAAACCGUUGGUUCGGGUUCAAAUCCUGACGCCCCUG
rnacentral:tRNA from 1 species